GCGGGUGUCGUCUAAUGGUAGGGCCUAAGCUUCCCAAGCUUAUGACGGGAGUUCGAUUCUCCUCACCCGCUCCA
rnacentral:tRNA from 1 species